rnacentral:rRNA from 1 species
UACGUAGGGGGCAAGCGUUGUCCGGAAUCAUUGGGCGUAAAGCGCGUGUAGGCGGCCCGGUAAGUCCGCUGUGAAAGUCGGGGGCUCAACCCUCGAAUGCCGGUGGAUACUGUCGGGCUAGAGUGCGGGAGAGGCGAGUGGAAUUCCUGGUGUAGCGGUGAAAUGCGCAGAUAUCAGGAGGAACACCAAUUGCGAAGGCAGCUCGCUGGGACGUAACUGACGCUGGAGACGCGAAAGCGUGGGGAGCAAACAGG